UACGGAGGGAGCUAGCGUUAUUCGGAAUUACUGGGCGUAAAGCGCACGUAGGCGGCUUUGUAAGUAAGAGGUGAAAGCCUGGAGCUCAACUCCAGAAUUGCCUUUUAGACUGCAUCGCUUGAAUCAUGGAGAGGUCAGUGGAAUUCCGAGUGUAGAGGUGAAAGUUCGUAGAUAUUCGGAAGAACACCACGUGGCGAAGGCGGGCUGGACUGGACAUGGUAUUGACGCUGAGGUGCGAAAGGCGUGGGGAGCAAACAGGAUUGAGAUACCCCCGAGUAAGAUCCACGAGCCAAGUCCUCGUGCCUGACCGUA
rnacentral:rRNA from 1 species